GCGAAAACUUUACAAUGCUGGCAACAGCGAUAAGGGAACCUCGAGUGCCAGGUUACAAAUCUGGCUGUCGAGAUGCCUAAAAAGCAUUUCAUAGCAAGGGCCGGGCAAGACCGGUGCCAGCCGCCGCGGUAACACCGGCGGCUCGAGUGGUAACCGUUAUUAUUGGGUCUAAAGGGUCCGUAGCCGGCCGGAUAAGUCUCUUGAGAAAUCUGGCAGCUUAACUGUCAGGCUUUCAGGAGAUACUGUCUGGCUCGAGGCCAGGAGAGGUGAGAGGUACUUCAGGGGUAGGGGUGAAAUCUUGUAAUCCUUGAAGGACCACCAGUGGCGAAGGCGUCUCACCAGAACGGACCUGACGGCAAGGGACGAAAGCUAGGGGCACGAACC
rnacentral:rRNA from 1 species